ensembl:snRNA U6 U6 spliceosomal RNA
GUAAUUGCCACCAUGAAUAAACACAUAUACUAAAAUUAGAACAAUACAGAGAAGAUUGGCAUGGCCCCUAUGCCAGGAUGACACACAAAUUUGUGAAGUGUUCCAUAUUUUU